rnacentral:misc_RNA from 1 species
GAUGAAGAACGUAGCGAAAUGCGAUAAGUAAUGCGAAUUGCAGAAUUUCCGUGAGUCAUCGAAUCUUUGAACGCACAUUGCGCCCACUGGUAUUCUGGCGGGCAUGCCUGUUCGAGCGUCAUUACGCCCCUCAAGUCCCCUGUGGACUUGGUGUUGGGGAUCGGCGAGGCUGGUUUUCCAGCACAGCCGUCCCUUAAAUUAAUUGGCGGUCUCGCCGUGGCCCUCCUCUGCGCAGUAGUAAAACACUCGCAACAGGAGCCCGGCGCGGUCCACUGCCGUAAAACCCCCCAACUUUUUAUAGUUGACCUCGAAUCAGGUAGGACUACCCGCUGAACUUAAGCAUAUCAAUAAGCGGAGGA